AGAAAUUUGUUGAUACAUUUAGGGAACAUUGGAAGAGGUUUGGAUGUUCUAUCAUGUCUGAUGGCUGGACAGAUGGGAAAAAGCGACAUCUUAUUGACUUUUUGGUGAAUUGUCCGAAAGGGACAGUUUUUUUGAAGUCUGUGGAUGCGUCAAACAGAACCAAUGAUGCUGAUUUUAUACGUGGGCUUGUAAAGGAGGUAAUUAACGAUGUUGGGGAAGAAAAUAUAGUUCAGUUCAUUACCGAUAAUGGUUCAAAUUUUAAAAAGGCAGGGAAAGAUUUAAUGCUUGAAUACCCAAAUAUGUUUUGGACUCCUUGUGGUGCUCAUUGUGUUCAGUUGAUGCUAGAAGAACUUGGUUACAAGCUUCCACGAAUCAAGACAGCCGUCAUUCUAGGUAAAAGACUCGUUACAUAUAUUUAUGCUCAUUUUCAAGUAUUAAGCUUAAUGAGGGAAAUGAUCGGUGGUGAAUUACAUAGGUCUACAAAGACUAGAUUUGCAACUCAGUACUACACACUAGAAAGUCUUGCAAAGUAUAAAACCCAUUUGCAAAUAAUGUUUGUGAAUGAUAAGUGGUUGAAAAUGAGGUUUGCAAAAGAAACUAUGGGAAUUAAUGUACUUAAAAUUGUCACAAGCGGUACAUUUUGGGAAGAUGUUGAUUAUUCUUGUAGAGUGCUAAAGCCUUUGGUUAAGGUUGUAAGGGUAGUGGAUAUCGAGCGCAAACCUACAAUGCCUUGUUUUUAUGAAGCAAUGAGGAUAGCAAGGGAGAAACUCGAGGAGAAUUUCAGUCAAGAUGAUAGUACUUGGGCUGUAAUUAAGGCUAUCUUUGAUAAAAGAUGGAAGAAUAACUUCAAUCAUGCUCUACAUUGUGCUGCAUAUUAUUUAAAUCCUUCCAUAUUCUACAAAGUCCCUGCUCAUCUAAUGGAUAAUGAUCUUAAGUACAUAUAAAUCAAAAGGGGACUUCAUACAGCAAUGCAAAGGCUUAUUCCCAAUGAAGAAGAUCUUGAGAAAGCUACAACUGAAUUGAGAGACUACAGUGAUGCUAACGGGAUCUUGGGAACUCCGGUUUGCAAAAAAAGAAGAUAUAAAGAUCAACCUCAUGAUUGGUGGAUUACAUAUGGAGGAAUCGAUACCCCAAACCUACAAAAAUUUGCAAUAAGGGUAUUGAGUCUUACUUGUUCCCCGUGUGAGCGAAACUGGAGCACAUUUCAGAAUUUGCAUUCAAAGAAGCGAAAUCGCAUAAAGCAACAAAAAUUGAAUGAUAGCGUCUUUAUUCAAUACAACAAGAAAUUGGAACGUCGAUACAAAGAAAUCAGUCAAUAUAAUGAUGAUCCGAAAGCUCAUGAUCCCAUUUUUCUGGAUGAGCGUGAUGACAAUGAUGAAUGGUUGGCUUUAGAGAAUUUGGAUGACUUGGUUGUACAAGGAGAUAAUGUUAUUUUGGAUGAUUUGCAAGAUAUUGUUGGUGAAAAAGGUAUGCCAGUUGUUGGUAAAAGUGCUUGUAUCUCCCGACGCAAAUCUACUUAUCCAACUGACUCUGAAUAUAGUGGAUAUGAUACUGAUGACUUGAUGUUGGACUCUAAUUAUGGACUACUUGGUGGAGAUGAUGGAGCUACGGAAGAUUAUGAUAUCUAUGAUGAAUCGAAUGAUUUUGAUUAAAAUUGUAAUGUCCAUGUUUAAUUAUGUUUCCAGAUUGUGAACUUUAAAGUUGUGAAUUCUCCCAUUUUUCCAAUUUGAACUUC